AAAUGACAUACCAUAAGCCCUAAAUCAGAAAGGUCUUUGCCAUGAAAAGCCUGGAUUAUUUACAGGCCUGUCUUAAUUCCACAGGAUCUUGGCUCUACCCAGUAUCCUGAGGAAUCUUCAUCUAGAACACCCCAGUAAACCAGAACCAACUCUACAUCUGGCAAGCAUCGUAUCCACAAUGGAAGAGAAACAGUGUUACACAGUGGUUACGGAUUUUCAAACUUGAGAUACUGCUUCUUCUAAGCCAAGGAAAAUAAGUAAAAAUGAAAGAAAUGGGAUUACUGAAGUCAUUACAGUAACACCAGGAGGAGCAAAAGC
rnacentral:lncRNA from 1 species